ACUUGCAGAGCUUGUCAGGAUAACCAGAAUAGCAACAGAUAAUCAAAAUGGCAAAAUUCCCCUUCUUCCUUUACCUGCUGCAGCUGGUUUGAGGGGUCUUCUGGGACAGUCUCUGAGACAGAAGAGCUUGUUCUUCUUCUUGAAUUUGACUUGAUUGCUUUCAUGCAGAACUAAUUGCCAUGUUUUCACAGGAGAAAGAAGGCAACGAGGCCACGCAAAGCCAGACCCAGGAGCACACUAUCAGAUUUUGUAGCUGUUUCCAGGCUCCAUCAGAAUACAAAAGGAGGCAAAUUACUGAAGGCUGUGCUGACAGAGUUCGAGAAGUUUGGGAAAUUGUCAUUAGCAAAACUCAGGCAGGAAAGCCACCUCAUCUUCAAACGAGCUGCUAGGAGAUACAGCUGACCAGAGAAUUAACUCUGCCCAGGACUGAUGCCAC